rnacentral:rRNA from 1 species
UGGGGAAUAUUGCACAAUGGGCGCAAGCCUGAUGCAGCCAUGCCGCGUGUGUGAAGAAGGCCUUCGGGUUGUAAAGCACUUUCAGCGGGGAGGAAGGCGAUAAGGUUAAUAACCUUGUCGAUUGACGUUACCCGCAGAAGAAGCACCGGCUAACUCCGUGCCGGCAGCCGCGGUAAUACGGAGGGUGCAAGCGUUAAUCGGAAUUACUGGGCGUAAAGCGCACGCAGGCGGUUUGUUAAGUCAGAUGUGAAAUCCCCGGGCUCAACCUGGGAACUGCAUCUGAUACUGGCAAGCUUGAGUCUCGUAGAGGGGGGUAGAAUUCCAGGUGUAGCGGUGAAAUGCGUAGAGAUCUGGAGGAAUACCGGUGGCGAAGGCGGCCCCCUGGACGAAGACUGACGCUCAGGUGCGAAAGCGUGGGGAGCAAACAGG